rnacentral:rRNA from 1 species
GACGAACGCUGGCGGCGUGCUUAACACAUGCAAGUCGAACGGAAAGGCCCGGCUUUUGCGGGGCGCUCGAGUGGCGAACGGGUGAGUAACACGCGAGUAUCCUGCCCCUGACUUUGGGAUAACUUCAGGAAACAGGGGCUAAUACCGGAUAGGAGCUCCUGCAGCACGGGGGGGGAUGGAAAGUUUCGGCGGUUGUGGCUGGACUCGCGGGUUAUCCGCUUGUUGGGCAGGUAGGGGCGUACCAAGUGUUUGACGGGUAGCCGGCAUUGGAGGGGUGACGGCGUCAAUGGUCCUGCGAUAGGGAGCAGACUGGUACGGGAGGCAGCAGUGGAGAAUAUUGCGGAGUGAGCGGACGUCAGAGGUAGAGACGCCGCGAGCGGGAUGACGGCCUACGAGUUAUAAACAGCUUUGGCCUGUGACGAGGCGUUCGUGACGGUAAUGGGUAAGGAAGCACCGGCUAACUACGUG